CAUUCGGCAAACAUCUAUGCAGCGUGGACUCUGCCGGGCCCCAGCUGGGUCCCUGAGCAGAGGGUCUGGAUUGGCCAUACCUCAUUUAUAUUGAGAUGAAUGAACUCCUUGUUCUUUGUACUGAGAGCCUGGAACACCCCUGAUAGGAGAGAAGGGGGAAAGGCAUCCUUUUAAAGACAAUUCCUUUACCAAGUUUGUUUCCCAGCGACCGAAGGGCCUUCCAGUGGAGCCUGUGGGGAAGCUGCUCCAUCUGGUGGUAAACAAGGACUUUCAUCAAGGGCGGCGAUGGGACUCAGGCCGGCUGAAGGGGAACUUCUCUGAACGGAUGGAGGCAUCCAGUCCUGUAGCAAGCCAGUGGUCACCUAAGCCAGUCAGCCGGCCAGCAGCUCCUGGAGCCAAAGCAACGCCCCUAUCUUAACCUUCUGGGGGGUGCCGUGGGUGCUGUCAGAGGACAGAGCAGCACAGGAGAGCAUGCCAGCACUGAGCUGGGGGCUGGGUCUACCGCAUGGUGUAGUGACGUGAGUGCACCUGAGCAAGUCACUGCCCUCUUGGGGCCUCAGCCUCCUCACCUUCAGAAGACGAGGUCAAGCCAAUCAGCCCUGGCUUCACUUGAGAAUCUCACGGGUAGCUUUAAUAAUACAACCCAAAGUGGGGUGGGGGACCAUCACUGGACACAAGAAAUGGAAGAGACCCAACAACCAAACAUGAUGACUGGGUCUUGUGUGGAUCCUGAGUCAACCAAGCAACUGUAAAAAGGUAGCCUGGAAGACUUGGGCAUGAACCGGGCACUAGAGAAUGUUGAGGGUUUGCUGAGAAUUUCGUUAGGUGUGCAAAUGGUAUGAAGAUGAUGCUAAAAACAAGUCUAUCAGCUGGAGAUACUCAGAUGAAUGGACAGAGUUUCUGAGAUCUGCUAUUAAAUUAUUUAGGGGGAAAAUGUAUGUGUUGCGGGAGCACAAGGGAAAAGUUAGCAAGAUGGUAAUUGUUGAGGUUGGGUGUAAAGGUCUGGAAACACCUGGCAAAUUUGCAUAACUCCCAAUGCUGUGUGCCACCCCUGAGAUUCUAACAGAAUUGGUCAACUGUGCAGCCUGGUCAUCAGCAUUUCUUUAGGCACCCCUGGAGAUUGUAAUGUACAGCGAAGUUUGAGAAGUGCCGAUGUGGAGUGCACGGGAACCUAUUAUGAUUCUUUAUAUCUAACUGGAGGGUUG
rnacentral:lncRNA from 1 species